rnacentral:rRNA from 1 species
ACUCCUACGGGAGGCAGCAGUGGGGAAUAUUGCACAAUGGGGAAACCCUGAUGCAGCCAUGCCGCGUGUGUGAAGAAGGCCUCGGUUGUAAGCACUUCAGUAGGGAGGAAGGUAGUGUAGUUAACACCUGCAUUAUUUGACGUUACCUACAGAAGAAGCACCGGCUAACUCCGUGCCAGCAGCCGCGGUAAUACGGAGGGGUGCGAGCGUUAAUCGGAAUUACUGGGCGUAAAGCGCAUGCAGGCGGCCUGUUAAGUCAGAUGUGAAAGCCCGGGGGCUUAACCUCGGAAUUGCAUUUGAAACUGGCAGGCUAGAGUCUUGUAGAGGGGGUAGAAUUUCAGGUGUAGCGGUGAAAUGCGUAGAGAUCUGAAGGAAUACCAGUGGCGAAGGCGGCCCCCUGGACAAAGACUGACGCUCAGAUGCGAAAGCGUGGGGAGCAAACAGGAUUAGAUACCCUGGUAGACUGUCA